ensembl:lncRNA
UUUGCAAAAGUAUUUUUUAUUAAGAUUAACACACACUAUACAUACAAAUAAAGUCUAUAAAUCUAAUACACAUUUUAUAACUCUGAUAUUGUAUUAAUAAAAUGUCACACACCAUACGCCUAUGUAGGCUAUUUACUUCUACACGGACAAUCACUGCAGAAUAAAGGGUGUUUCUACUGCUGAUGGGAUUGACGUUGUCUUGGGCUUUUGCUGUCUGUUCAUGACACCGAAAAUACCUGAGGUGAAUAUUUCAGAAGUUAUGAGUACUUGGAUGCUUAAAAUGCAGUCCAAAAGUGGAUUAAUAUAGGCUAUAAUUUAGAUUGCACUUUUGCUCAAUACAUGUAUUUCAAUGGAGUGUAUAAUUACAUUUUUUAAGGGACCCUGAAAAGAAUAAAUCUGAAUCCUUGAGAAGCAUAGCUUAUUGUCACUGUUGUGAUCUGUCAUGUACACAGCUAGAUGAUUAAAAUAAAUCAUUUUGAAAUAAAUAUUCCUAAAGCACUUGGGUGUGGAGAACCUUGAGCUGAGACCUGUAAUGCAAACAGUCCUUUGAGGAAAUACUGGAAAAGAAGGUGGUUUGUGAAUGUUAUGUAUUAUUGGUAAUAUUAAUACAUUUCAAAUUUUUUUUAUUUACUUUUUGGUACCUUGAGUCACCACUUGAUGGCGUCCUGAAGCAAAACCACCUGAGAACCACUUCUAUAAGCCAAGCAUAUUAGGGAAUUAUUUAAGUUGAUGUGUAAUUUCUUUCUUCACCAUUACAUUUUUUAUCCUUAAAUCUCUUUUUAACUGUGUAAGAAACACAAAGUGCUGUGUCCAGUUCAUUCCCCAUUAGGAAUUAGUACAAUAAAUGUCAUCAUGUAGUUCCAAAACACCAAUUGUUUUAGCUGGAAUGUCUUCUAACACAAUACACCAGCAAAGACGUCUGUUUUCUGCCAAUCAGUUUCAAAGUGCAAUUUGUACCCGCAAGGUCGGUGUCAGUGAUGGCUUCAAAAUCUAACAAUGCUUCCAGAAACUUCAAUAGUGACAAACAAACACAGAAUUAUACAUCCAAAUACAAGCCUUUGCUAUCAUCCUCAAUGCUGAUUCCUGGGGAUUCUAGUGGAAAACAUCACAUAAGCUGCUGUUGAAGGAAUAGUUCACAUAAAAUUUUGUAUGUUUGCUGAAAAUGUACUCCUGCUCAGGCCAUCCAAGAUGUAGAUGAGUUUGAUUCUUGUUUCUCAGAAUAGAUUUGGAGAAAUUUAGCAUUACGUCACUUGCUCACAAAUGGAUCCUCUGCAGUGAAUGGGUGCCGUCAGAAUGAGAGCCAAAUCCAAAAUUCCUAAAUCCACCCACAUGUUUGUUUAAAAUUGUUUCUCGGAUGUUUUUUGUAAUGUUGUUGUUGUUGUUGUUGUAAGUGGUGUUUGAUCUGUGCAUAUUUCUCCAAAUCUGUUCUAAUUGAACAAACAAACUCAUUUACAUCUUGGAUGGCCUGAGGGUGAGUUUUUUUUUUUGUUUGUUUUUUUUGGCUGAACUAUUCCUUCAAGCUAAAACUACGUGCUCCCUUAAACCUGGCCUGGGUAACUUAUAUUUGAUUACAAAAUAUAAGCACCUGCCUUGAAACAAAUUUUCACUGAUGGUUGCACAGUAAUACACACUAAUAAAAAGCUAGGUAAACUGUUAAUUGGUAAACUGUAAACAGCUACAUUCAAAAUGAAUGCAUUCUAUAGAACUAUUAAGCCCAUGAUGUUACACAUUAAAUUAUAGCUUGAUCUAAAUCUAGUCUACAACAUAGACACAAAACUUACUAAACAAUACUACAAACAAAGCAUAAGUAGAAAAGCACCUCAGUCCAAUAGAUAUAUAGUAAAAGUAACUGGAAACACGUGACUUUUGUAUGCAGUGUGAUUCUGAUUUCUACAGUAUAUUUGAUCUAAUGACAUAAAACUCAGGUAUUAUGCAGAAUAUUACAUCUAUUACUGUUCUUUUGUGGCUGUAGAAAGAUGUGAAUGACAUUCCAUGUUAUUCACAGGUUGGAGAGCAGACGGUUGGUUUGUUUGGUUGAGUAUGAGGUAGUGCUCCAGUUAGAUUGUUACUGCUCCUCCUCGUCAUCUUCCUCAGCGUCCUCAGAUGAGUCCUGAGGUUUUUCCUUUUCCUGUGUGAAACGGAAUCAAACAUUUGGAGAUAAAUGCAUGGAAGCAAAGCUCCUCUCUUGCAUGCUAUAUUUGACAUUUACAAUGCC